rnacentral:rRNA from 1 species
UCGGGUGUGGACAAAGUGGAAGUGAGAAUGUCGGCUUGAGUAGCGAAAACAUUGGUGAGAAUCCAAUGCCCUGAAAACCUAAGGGUUCCUCCGGAAGGCUCGUCCGCGGAGGGUGAGUCAGGGCCUAAGGUGAGGCCGAAAGGCGUAGCUAAUGGAUAACGGGUUAAUAUUCCUGUACCAUCUAUUGUUGAUAUCGAGGGACGGAGAAGGCUACAUCAGCCGGAUGUUGGUUACCGGUUUAAGCGCCUAAGACGUUGAUAAGUGGAGAAAACACUUUGAGUUAAAGCGUGAAUACGAAAUGCUACGGCAUUGAAGUGAUCUAUGCCAGGCUUCCAAGAAAAUCUCGUCAUAUCUUAAGCAGUAGAUGCCUGUACCUUAAACCGACACAGGUAGGUAGGUAGAGUAUACCAAGGGGCGCGAGAUAACUCUCUCUAAGGAACUCGGCAAAAUAACCUCGUAACUUCGGAAGAAGAGGUACCCUUGAAAAAGGGUUGCAAUAACCAGACCCUGGCGACUGUUUACCAAAAACACAGGUCUCCGCUAAUUCGUAAGAUCAAGUAUGGAGGCUGACGCCUGCCCAGUGCCGGAAGGUUAAAGAAGUUGGUCAAUCUUUGGAUGAAGCUGGCGACUGAAGCCCCGGUGAACGGCGGCCGUAACUAUAACGGUCCUAAGGUAGCGAAGUUCCUUGUCGGGUAAGUUCCGACCCGCACGAAAGGCGUAACGAUCAGGGUGCUGUCUCGGAGAGAGACUCGGCGAAAUAGACAUGUCUGUGAAGAUGCGGACUACCUGCACCUGGACAGAAAGACCCUAUGAAGCUUUACUGUAUCUUGAAAUUGGGUUUGGGCCUUGCUUGCGCAGGAUAGGUGGGAGGCUGUGAAGAUAUUCUUGCGGGAAUGUUGGAGCCAACGGUGAGAUACCACUCUAGUAAGGCUAAAAUUCUAACUCUGAACCGUUAUCCGGUCAGAGAACAGUUUCAGGUGGGCAGUUUGACUGGGGCGGUCGCCUCCUAAAAGGUAGCGGAGGCGCGCAAGGUUCCCUCAGGCUGGUUGGACAUCAGUCGUAGAGUGUAAAGGCAUAAGGGAGCUCGACUGCGAGACCCACAAGUCGAGCAGAGACGAAAGUCGGCCUUAGUGAUCCGACGGUUCCACGUGGAAGGGCCGUCGCUCAACGGAUAAAAGUUACUCUAAGGAUAGCAGGCUGAUCUCCCCCAAGAGUUCACAUCGACGGGGAGGUUUGGCACCUCGAUGUCGGCUCAUCGCAUCCUGGGGCGGUAGUACGUCCCAAGGGUUGGGCUGUUCGCCCAUGAAAGCGGUACGCGAGCUGGGUUCAGAACGUCGUGAGACAGUUCGGUCCAUAUCCGGUGCAGGCGUUAGAGCAUUGAGAGGAGUCCCCCUUAGUACGAGAGGACCGGGGGGAAUACACCGCUGGUGUACCAGUUAUCGUGCCAACGGUAAACGCUGGGUAGCCAUGUGUAGCGCGGAUAACUGCUGAAAGCAUCUAAGUAGGAAGCCCACCUUAAGAUGAGUGCUCUCACCGCUAUACGGGUAAGGUCACGGUAAGAACAACCGUUAUAUAGGCAUUAAGUAUACGUGCAGUAAUGCAUUUAGCUGAGAUGUACUAACAGACCGAGGGCUUGACAA